rnacentral:tRNA from 1 species
GCGGGGGUGGCAGAGCCUGGCCAAAUGCGCAAAUUCAUGCGAGCAGAUGCGUAUGGAGCUUAGGGUUGAGGGCCUUGUCCCUUAGUGGGUGCGCGAGUUCGAAUCUCGUCCCCCGCA